CUGCGUUCUUGGGGGUGGGGGGUGGGGCGGCAGCUGGAGAGUGGGGGCUUCCCCAGCGGGAGAGGGAGGACGAUUCUGGAUGGCUUCCCUCCUUGUGGACAGAGUGAGUCUCUGCUAUGAGAAAGUAGAGACGGGGUUUCACCGUCUUAGCCAGGAUGGUCUCGAUCUCCUGACCUCGUGAUCCGCCCGCCUCGGCCUCCCAAAGUGCUAGGACUAACAGGCGUGAGCCACCGCACCCGGCCAAGCUGGAUCUUAAGCUUGCUUACCGGUGACUUGUUGACCUCAUCUUGGCUCAAAGAAGACACGGCCCCAGGUGUUCUACAUACGGCUCGGGAGCCAGCAAGUGCGUAUGAAGCCCCUUCACAUGGCUAGUGGCAUCCUAAGGACCCGGCGACAAUUAGUCAUGGCGUCAUCGAACACCAGGCUGGAGGAGGUCUUGGAUGCCACAGCUCCUUUUGAAUUUCAAAGACGUUCAAAUCCCCAUCUGGCUGUUACACUUUUAGGCUAUUGAGAGUGAAAACAAGCACUGACAUGAACACCCAACCAGCUGCCGGUGACAUCGUCCCCUUCUGAGAUCUGAGGACAUGGAUACCCAACCACCUGCCGGUGACAUCGUCUCCUUCUGAGAUCUGAGGACAUGAACACCCAACCACCUGCCGGUGAUAUCGUCCCCUUCUGAGAUCUGAGGACGUGGAUAUCCAACCACCUGCCGGUGACAUUGUCUCCUUCUGAGAUCUGAGGACAUGGACACCAAACCACCUGCCGGUGACAUUGUCUCCUUCUGAGAUCUGAGGACAUGAACACCAAACCACCUGCCAGUGACAUCGUCCCCUUCUGAGAUCUGAGGACAUGGAUACCCAACCACCUGCCGGUGACAUCGUCUCCUUCUGAGAUCUGAGGACAUGGACACCCAACCACCUGCCGGUGACAUCGUCUCCUUCUGAGAUCUGAGGACAUGAACACCCAACCACCUGCCGGUGAUAUCGUCCCCUUCUGAGAUCUGAGGACGUGGAUAUCCAACCACCUGCCGGUGACAUUGUCUCCUUCUGAGAUCUGAGGACAUGGACACCAAACCACCUGCCGGUGACAUUGUCUCCUUCUGAGAUCUGAGGACAUGAACACCAAACCACCUGCCAGUGACAUCGUCCCCUUCUGAGAUCUGAGGACAUGGAUACCCAACCACCUGCCGGUGACAUCAUCUUCUUCUGAGAUCUGAGGACAUGGACACCCAACCACCUGCCGGUGACAUCGUCUCCUUCUGAGAUCUGAGGACAUGGACACCAAACCACCUGCCGGUGACAUCGUCUCCUUCUGAGAUCUGAGGACAUGAACACCCAACCACCUGCCGGUGAUAUCGUCCCCUUCUGAGAUCUGAGGACGUGGAUAUCCAACCACCUGCCGGUGACAUUGUCUCCUUCUGAGAUCUGAGGACAUGGACACCAAACCACCUGCUGGUGACAUUGUCUCCUUCUGAGAUCUGAGGACAUGAACACCAAACCACCUGCCAGUGACAUCGUCCCCUUCUGAGAUCUGAGGACAUGGAUACCCAACCACCUGCCGGUGACAUCAUCUUCUUCUGAGAUCUGAGGACAUGGACACCCAACCACCUGCCGGUGACAUCGUCUCCUUCUGAGAUCUGAGGACAUGGACACCAAACCACCUGCCGGUGACAUCGUCUCCUUCUGAGAUCUGAGGACAUGAACACCCAACCACCUGCCGGUGACAUCGUCCCCUUCUGAGAUCUGAGGACAUUGAUACCCAGCCACCUGCCGGUGACAUCGUCUCCUUCUGAGAUCUGAGGAUAUGGACACCAAACCACCUGCCGGUGACAUCGUCUCCUUCUGAGAUCUGAGGACAUGAACACCCAACCACCUGCCGGUGACAUCGUCCCCUUCUGAGAUCUGAGGACAUGGAUACCCAACCACCUGCCGGUGACAUCGUCUCCUUCUGAGAUCUGAGGACAUGGACACCCAACCUGCUGCUGGUGACAUCGUUCCCUUCUGAGAUCUGAGGACAUGGACACCAAACCACCUGCCAGUGACAUCGUCUCCUUCUGAGAUCUGAGGACAUGGACACCAAACCUGCUGCCGGUGACAUCGUCCCCUUCUGAGAUCUGAGGACAUGGACACCCAACCACCUGCCGGUGACAUCGUCUCCUUCUGAGGUCUGAGGACAGACACUCACAUGGACACCUAAACACCUGCCGAUGAUAUUGUCUCCUUCUGAAAUCUGAGGACAUGGACACCCAACCAGCUGCUGGUGACAUCAUCUCCUUCUGAGAUCUGAGGACAGACACUCACAUAGACGCCCAAUCAGCUGCUGGUGACAUUGUCUCCUUCUGAAAUCUGAGGGUUGGAACACAUUGGCCUGGCUCAGUGUUUCUCCAUGUGGUUUUGAGACCACCUGAGUUGGAACCGAUAUGGGUUCCCAGCCUCACGCCUGGAGAGCUGGAUUUUGCGAGUGUGAGGUUAGGUCCAGCAUCUGCAUGUGUAACGAGCUCCCAGGUGUUUCGUAGAUGCAUUAGGGCUUGAGAAGCUCCUUUCUAGCACCAUCUUCCUUUUUGCGCAUGAGGGAGUUCAGGUCCAGAGAAAUAAAGCAGCAAGGUUAGUGGCACAGCUGGCGCCCCCUGCUUUCUAGGAAUUUAGAAUAUUAUUGAAGAGAGAGGUAUUAGAACCUGUGAAGUCAAUACAGAGACCUCCAGGCGAGUGGCAUCCUCACUGAAACCACUGACAAGUAUGCUGAAUAGAAAGUGUCAUUUCUCCUGGAAGACCCUCAGUGACCCAGCUGGAGGGUCUCUCCUACUCAUCAGCUGUCCCUCACUCUGCCAUUUCAG
rnacentral:lncRNA from 1 species